rnacentral:ncRNA from 1 species
AAACCCGAGCGAGGCAGUAUAAUUUUCUUGGCAGGCCGUACCCAUAUCCGCAAGCCCCCUGUAGCGAAAGGGAAUCGGGUUAAUAUUCCAGACCAUGUCCACGAAGACUGGUGUGUGUCGGGUCCCUGGUUCUGCGUGCGCCCAGCGCGGUAACGCAACCGACCUUAGAGACGUCGGCGGGAGUUCUGGGAAGAGAUAUCUUUUCUUUGUUAGGAGCGCAUCCACCCCCUGGAAUCGGCUUGUCCGGAUAUAGGGGGCUAGCCUCCGUAAAACACCACCAAUCUUGUGGUGUCCGGAACGCUUCUAUCUGCCCUUGAAAAUAGAACGAGGGAUAUAUGUGUAGCAAUGUAUU